AUACGGAGGAUGCGAGCGUUAUCCGGAUUUAUUGGGUUUAAAGGGUGCGUAGGUGGUAGAUUAAGUCAGCGGUGAAAGUUUGUCGCUCAACGAUAAAAUUGCCGUUGAUACUGGUUUACUUGAGUAUAGUUGAAGUAGGCGGAAUGCGUGGUGUAGCGGUGAAAUGCAUAGAUAUCACGCAGAACUCCGAUUGCGAAGGCAGCUUACUAAGUUAUAACUGACACUGAAGCACGAAAGCGUGGGUAUCAAACAGGAUUAGAUACCCUGGUAGUCCACGCAGUAAACGAUGAUUACUAGCUGUUUGCGAUAUACAGUAAGCGGCCAAGCGAAAGCAUUAAGUAUUCCACCUGGGGAGUACGCCGGCAACGGUGAAACUCAAAUGAAUUGACGGGG
rnacentral:rRNA from 1 species